UUUCCUAUCUUUUCCCCCUCCUCCUCCACCCCCUCCCCCACACACACCUCCUGCUGUUAUAUCGUCACCCUCAUAAAGUAAUUGCCUAAGUCAUUUUUCAGUGAUUUCCAUUUUUGUUAAGUUGUCUUAGAUAUUCAGGGUUUGAGUGUUCUAGAAUUGCCUUUUUAUUUCUGCCUAAAUCUUAAGCCAAAUGAGAUGAUGACGUUCUCUUCUUGAAAAAUAGAAAAUAACGACUUGGGCGGUUUCUUUACGAAGGUGGCGAGAUUGUAAUAGGUUUUGCACCCUCUAUUUAGGGAUGUGCACUAAUUUUCGUCUCUUCUCUUCCCCUCCUCCUCCCCUGGCUGGCCGGGGAAUGGAGGAGGAGCACUAGGACGAAGAGGUGAAGGGAGGCGCUGGGAGAGACGACUCGAGCACAAGGAGGCAAGAGACAAGAAGCAGAGACGCAGGAACGGAAAGGCAGCCAGAUGGUCGAUGCUGUGAAGAGGAGGAAGAUGACUGCAGGAGGCGGUGUGUGUGUGUUGGGGAAGGAGACGACGGCACCACCCUCACACACAGCUGGUUAAGGCCUGCAAGAGAGCCUAGUCAAUGAAGAGGAAAAGAAGACAAGAAUAAAGAAUAAAGAAGACAAGAAGAAAGAAGAGAGGCAAAACAGGAGGAGGGGAUUUUUUUUCUGUCUAUACCUGAAGUGUGAUGAAUUUACUAAGGGUAUAUUUAAGCCUGAUAUAACGUACUUUAAGGUAUAUUUAAUGGUACAAGUGUGUAGCCUACUUUUGCCUGGAGUUGGAGACGGUAAAAUACUCUCCGACUCCUUUAUUGUGGUGCUGUGUGGUUUGUUUACUGUGGUGCGAUGUGGGUCAUUUACUGUGGUGCGGUGUGGUUCGUUAAUUAAGGUGAGGUAUGGUUCGUUUAUUGUAGUGCGGUAUGGUUCGUUUACUGUGGUGCGGUGUGGCUCGUUAAUUAAGGUGAGGUGUUGUUCAUUUAUUGUGGUGCGGUGUGGUUCGUUAAUUAAGGUGAGGUAUGGUUCGUUUAUUGUAGUGCGGUAUGGUUCGUUUACUGUGGUGCGGUGCGGCUCGUUAAUUAAGGUGAGGUGUGGUCCAUUUAUUGUGGUGUGGUGUGGUUCGUUAAUUAAGGUGAGGUAUGGUUCGUUUAUUGUAGUACGGUAUGGUUCGUUUACUGUGAUGCGGUGUGGCUCGUUAAUUAAGGUGAGGUGUGGUUCAUUUAUUCUGGUGCGAUGUGGCGUUGCGGGCUUUAAUUUCCCUACCACUGCACCAGACAAGGGUACGGGGGAGGGGGUGGAGUCAAUUUUUUUUAUAUCCGACUCCACACCCGUGCUAGAGUGUAAGAGUAUUGAUGGAAUAUAUUUAAGGUGCUGGGUGAUACUGUGGUGCUCUCGUCGCGGCAACCCAUUCUGCUUCUGCAUAUUAACCCGUACUGCUGCAUGACGCAUAGCAACCUGUGUUUUUUUCUGCUGCCGCAACGACUCGUACUGCUAACGCAUAAUGACCUGUGCUGCUUCUGCUAUUGUAACAACUCUUACUGCAAUAACUUACUGCUGCUUCCAUUUAAAAACGUAUAAACGCAUAAACCCGCUGUGUUGCCAACUUGUCAACAACCCAACUAAUGAAUUUUCUGAUCAAAGAUCAAAGAGAGGAUUAGGCCUUCAGGGGACACCUCUUAAAUAAAAACGCGCCUGGGACUUUUACCUCAGAGGUGGUGUGGAAAAAAAGUCCAGUCACGAAAAUAAGUAUCUUAUACUCCAUGAAAGUGUCUCAGUCUUAUGAGAACACAAAGGUUGAGAGGGCUCAGACAUUCUGUUGUUUACUGCACACACUCCCAUGUUAGCAGUAAGGGUACUAAAUUCUGAUCUCUGUACAAAACAACCAAAUAUACAUAAUAACGAACAGAGAGUUGAAUAAAAUGUGUGCCUGCAUUCUCCGUCAGCAGCGUAGACGUAACAUGGGUUGAAAAAAUGAGUUAUUUAAUACAGCCGCUGGCCAACGUCUUGACCCCAGAGUCUUUGUGUUUGUCUCCGCAUCCUCUGCACUACACUGCACAGAAUCUGGCGAGUCUGGGUUGUGACAGCUGUUUCCCAAAGCCUCCAAGGAUACCAGUCAGGCUUAUGAGUGUUUUUUGUGUUGUUGGGGAAGCCUUGUCUAGGCUCGCAAAUCUACACCUGGAAAUACUACUACCAACACAACCCAUAUGAAAGCCUUUCCUAAAACAUAAAACCUCUACCAGUGCCUUACCAGACGGCACCACUGAUAUUAGUGUCCCUCAUAUGUUGUGUCAUUGAGGGAGUGUUUGGGUCUAUUAUUUGUUCUAUAUAUAUAAGGUAUUGAAUUUGCACUUAUUUUUUAUACGGAUGUUAGUGUCCCUCAUAUGUUGUGUCAUUGAGGGAGUGUUUGGGUCUAUCAUUUUUUUGUUUUGGAUGCCCCUUUAUGGAUCUAAAUAAUGACAUCCACCUUAAAAUAAAUGUAUGUGUCUGUGGUCAUCCCAAAGCUGAAGGUUGGUAUCUACUCCACUGGUUUUCAUGUGUUUUCUCGGACAGCUCAGAUUAUUAGCAAAUGUUUUUACCUGUCCGCUGUGAUUGGCACGGAUUUCGCCUUCACUGGUAACCUGGUAACAUGUACUCCCAAAUCAUUCUUUGUCUCUGUGGUGGAUAGUGGAGUGUUUCCCAUGUGGUAUUGGUGUGCUGGAUAUCCCUUCACUGGUAACCUGGUAACAUGUACUCCCAAAUCAUUCUUUGUCUCUGUGGUGGAUAGUGGAUAAAGGGUCGUUGGUCAUGAUGGAUCGCCUGAAACUAUAUGAUUUUUGUCGUUUUUUAGUGUAUUAACUUUCCCAAACUUCUUUUAUCCUUCUUUUAUUCCCUUUCCCUCUUCUUGGCCCUUUUAUCCUCUCUCGUGGAAGUUUGUGAAAGAUAGAGAAAAGAAGAUGAUGGAUUGUUUAACUGAUUUCCCGGA